ACGGGCCCAGCCCAUAUCAUCAUCAGCGUCGACGCCUUGUCCACCCACAACCCUCCCGGGGAGGUAGAUGUUGAGUUUGCCUCCAACCCCUACACCAACAUUAACACGGGUGGGUGUCCAGGAUCAGAGGCUCAGGACCAGGAUCAGGGCCUGACCAGGUCAGCGGCAAGAUCUAUGCCGGGAUCAGGGGUAUAACCGAAUCCUAAGCUGACCGGGGUGGAGGACAUCGACGCCUUAUGGCGUCCUUGGGAGUAGAAGAUGAAGAUGCGGCGGGACAUGCGCAGAAGGUUGGAUGGAGGAGGCGGAGGGUUCCUGGGCACUUUUCCGAGACAAGAUGCCUUUAUGGUCCUUCAAGGUUAUGCUAGCGGACGAUUUUCUGAAGCUGUAGAUGCGUGCCGUUGGAGCCAGCCCCUGGUGAUGGGCUUCCCCUAUCGCUUCUUAACCCUUUCCCAUCUCGGUCCCUCCCGUCCCGCGCCUUUAACCCAUGUUGCCUUGGCCUGGCAUGGGCCGUUUUCGGGCCUCCUAUACCCCCGACAGGUAUCUACUUUGUCCGGCAGUGGCCCGGCGGCCUGGCUUUUUUCAACGACGUCUGGCUGCCCAUGCAGGACAAGAACAUUGGCCACGACCAGGACGGCUUCAACUGGGUUGUGCGUGGGGGUUUCUUCCGGCAGGAGAUCCCGGGGUAUGCCUACAUUCCCCCGGACACCUCCCUGCGGGUUUUCUACGCCGCCUACAGCAAUUCCACGGCAGUGGCCUUCCUGCCGCCGUCCAUGUUUGGCAACACCUACACCUACGUGAAUGCACGGCUAUGGCAGGUAAUGUGCACCAGGGCUCGCACUCUGUCGGUGUGGGGCCCGGGGAAAUGGGGCUGCUGCUAUUAUUGGGGUUAGCCCAUGUUUUCGGAAAGAGUAGGCGGCCCGACGGCGGGGACGUUUGUUGCGUGGCGAGGUGUCUACGGAACGUGGCCAGACGAUUGGCUUUGCCGCGACUAAUGAUGAAACACAGCAGGCCGCGACUGAUGUUGCGGCGGCAGUCUGACGAGCAGUUCACGUUUCUUAAGAAUAUAUGAUCAUGCAAGAUGAUAUAGAGAGAGAGAAAGGGAGAAGAAAUCAUACGGAGAAUCAUACAGAGCGGUUCGAGAGGUAACGAAGCCCCCAACUGACUAAUUGGUUGUGUGGUACUCAAGACCGUGCCGACCUCCCUUUUGUCCCGCUUAACCCAUCUCUUUUCCCUAAGUGCAGCGGCUGAAUCAUACACUGUACGCGGUGCAUUGGGUGUGGGGCGGCCGAACGAUGGAGAGCAAGCGCCAGGAUAUGCGGGACGCGAUGAAGUUUCACGAUGAGCCCGAGUAUUACUCCUCGCCCUACCUGCUGACCUUUGAUGUGGAUCAAAUACCGGUGAGCAGGGGGAAUUGGAAACAGGGAAGCCAGGCAAGGUGAUGCAGAGGAUGACGUGGAGAGAGAGAGAGAGAGAGAGAGAGAGCAAGGAAGGGGAAGACCUUACUGCAAAGUAAUACAGUCGUGUCCAUUUGGAGGCUCACCCAUUACAUGCUCUCUACAGCUAUGAGCCUCCACGCACCAAUUGUGCUCGCACCGGUAUCAGUGGGUGCCUCGUUACCCUAAUCUUUGCAGAUGCCCCAGGACUACAACAGCUGGAGCGAUACAGAGGAGAUGAUUCGCUUCCACGUGACAGCCGCCAACCAUCAGCUGCAACAGGCCUACUACGCCUUUGCUGCAGCGCUCAUAGCCAACCGCACGCUGGUGAUACCCCGGGUGCGUGAGACCCGGGAUGGUGAUGGGUUUACGCAUGGCAGUAUAGAGUUGGUUAUUGCUGGGCGAACGGUGGCAAUAGGGAAACCCUCAUUUAAACCGUCGCUCUGUCCAAUCGUUUUGGGGUUGCCAUCGACACGGGACACAGAGAAUUGUAGGCUUGGGGUUGAACGGACGCUUCGAACUAACGGUUUUGAUUUCCGUGAUGACGCGUUUUGUAACCCCCGUUUUUGCUUCACUUUCUCUUUCCCUGCCUCUCUGGAUCUGCUAUGCAGUGACCCAAUUCUGUGGCCAUGUUCAGGCUGUGCACCUGCCUGGUAUCUUGUAAACCAUCCACAGACGGACCCCGCCCUUCCUGUCUGCUUUGAGCCCUGCAGUUUCUGUGCUACUGCUCCAAGAACUGGUAUCAAACACAAAGGUGCCGCAUCAACGAGGAGACGGUUACCGUCUUCCCCUUCACCUGCUCGCUAAGCCAACUGCUGCGCUCCAAGCGGCUGUCUAAUGGCUUCGCGCUGCCCCCCAAGAACCUUGAGUACGCGGGUCACAAGGUGUUUAUCAGGGAGUACUCCUUCCUGGAGAAUCCCAAGGUACCAGACCUCAUCAAGGUGCGUACUCGUCAAAUCGCCUCCCGGCAGCGCUUCCAACCAGCAGGCCUCUCUCCACCAUUCUCACAUAGGGGUAGGGAGUUCUGUGAACCUAAGGUCGUUCCUCGGAACAGGGCGAUUUCGCGGACCUUUUGUAGGGGCAAACUGGUGGUCAUCAAGGUAGCAAGCAGCAGCGUCCUGGAUGUCCUCUAGUUGCAUCCCUUCUGCCCCCUGCCGGCAGAAUCUGCCGUCUGUAGUGUGUCUAUAGCUGCGGAAGCGCCUCGCAUUGGUUGGAAUGCAAGGCAUUUAAGUAUGCAGGUGUGGCGCAAUAGCUAAGUUAUGGGGAUGUCGCGCCGGGUUGCUGGCUUGCGGAUCGAGCUGUUGCAAGGUAGUCAUCUUGGUAUCAAUUGCAUGUGGGGCAUCGGCUUGCGUGGCUAGCGAGUUCCUCAGUUCGCCGGCAGUGGGAUGGUUGCUGACCUGCCCUUCACACGCAUGGCGUCCCGUGCCACCCGUUUAUUCGCGGCCCUGUACCCAGCGUCACUGCUAUCCCGCCAAUGUCUCUAACAGGCGUCCACGGCGCCAUCCAUGGCGCACAAUGUAAUGCAGCGGCGCUGAAUGCCCCUCCUUCUCUUCGCACCCGACAUGCUUCCAUGCAUACGCACCCUCCCGCAUCUUCGCCUGCCGCCUUCCCUGCAGACGUCCUUCCUGGAGAUUGUGCCAUCGGACUCGCCGCGAAACCACGGGCCCCUCCAACCCGAUCAGCUGGUCCUGUCCGAGGGCCCCGCCACACGCGGUUACGGGCGCCGCAUUACCGUCCCACCGCAGCUGUCUGACAGAGAGCUGUGGGCCGUGCUACAGCGAUACCCGCGUGCACGCAUCGUGCACCUACCUAGUCCCACCCGCGUGCUGUCCGGUUUCAGCCGCAUUAGCACCUGGGGGCAGUUUGACGACGAGAUCCAAAAAGUGGUGGCGUACUGGUGCUGCAGGACGCCGCCCGACAUGAGGGUGCGUAUUGCGGGGCGUGGAAAGAUUAGCACAGCUAUUGCGCCUGUGCUUGCUUGGGUUAGCUUGGUCCGCCGCAUCGCGUCGAUCGCUCUCUUCUCCUAUACACGACAUGCUGCAGGCCAUGAACCUGACGGACAAGAUCCAGCUGGUGGCGCUUCCACCAAACCGCUACCGCAACCUGCCGGAGAUCAAGAAUUCCAACUACCUCCAUCAACUGGGGCCCUUUACUAGGCCGCAGUAGUUGACAUUUCGUGGCAGUGACGGUGGCUGGUUAAGUGCCAGCCGGUUGCACAGCAGCGGCGCGUGAUUUUUUGAUUUCUGUGGGAGAUCGCAGCAUACUUGCAUUCAUUCAGGCAGGUUCAGACAGUGAUUGGAAUUAGUGCAGAUGAACGCCUUGACGUCUUUUCUCCGACAGGGAAGGCAACCAACUCGGUGUUCGCAUCGCCAGGAGGGCAGGAACUAGGGUUAACGUAGUACCUUUUCCUUUCCCAGUCCUUCUCCCUUCCUUCCCCCGUUCUUCCUUCCUCUUCUUGCCCCUUCCUUCCCUCCCUCUCCUUCUUUCCCUUCUUUCCCCUCGCUUCCUCCCUUCCCCUCUCCUUCUCUUGCCAGCAUGUUAGUCAAGUUAUCAUUUUUCAUCUAGACAAUAGAAGGCUGUUGGUUUAGUUUUGUACAAGUUAUGAAGAUUUGCCAUGCAUCGUACAAUUGGUGAUGCCCCCGCUGGAAAAGUCUCAGACAAUUACACGUGCUACAGCAAUGGUGACGGCAUUCCAUUUGCGUGUCACCAAUUUUCAUUGGCACUACAGUAUGCAUGGCGGAACGACCCUGCCAGCAAGAAUUUGCUGGAUGGGAAUUGGAUCGCGCUGGAGUGCUAGAACAUUGUGCUGGCUGGGUAGCUUGGGGCAAUUAGAUUGCACUGGCAUAGGGUUAAGACUGUGCUGGAGGAGUAGCUUAUGGCAGCUAGAUGGCGCUGAGGUGCCACAAAGUUUGGGCUGGUGGGGUAGUUUGACAGGUAGAUCGUACUGAGGAGCUGGGUGCCUCAGCAAUUUAGAUGGCCCCGUCCGCCAGUUAAGAUGGAGCACCAAAACAUGGUGCGACUAAGGGGCCCCUGAAAACGGCGUUUCCCAGCCCUGAUUCCUACCCUUCUCAUCCUCCAUUGUCAAGACCUGGAACUUCAUGGUGCUGAUAACCACGUGCUGGGUGUGGCCUGUUAUGAAUAUAUCCGUGGCAUUGCAAAGAGAUUGACGUAGCUUUUGAGUUAUGAACAUUCUGUCCAGCCUAAUGUCAAGAAACCGUCCGUCCGCGUGCAUGCCUUGCAAGUGCUUUAUUUAAUCACCCUUUCGCCGGAUGUGAGGUGUGGCGGUUUGUUGACAUGGAAGUGUCGUUGGAUCCCUUACCCGCGGGGUGUAUGUGGAUGGCAGCUGUAUGCGUCGCUGCAUCGGUGUCGCCCACAUUCGCAUCCCCACUAAGCCACAUCCACGUUCUUUGGGAUGGGAAAGCAUCCCCGCGACCAACCGCCUGAUAUAAUCCAACCUCAGUUGCAACCCUCCUUGUCAGCAAUGGCGAGGGCUGGCAGUGGUGCAUAGCCUACGGGGCUGUCAGCGAGGUGCACGAAUUCCAGAGCACAUGGUGUACAUUUCGGGUUGCCGACCAGGCUCCAAAAGGAGCUAACCAGUUUGGGAAUGUCUGUAUAUUUCUUCGAUGGGCGUUGAAACUGUUCGCACCGCAAUAAUUGCAAUGUCUUCGUAUCAUACGAAGACAUUCGGCUGCACCGGAAGGCCAGUACACUCUGCCGAAAAUGCUUUAUUGAUGCCUGAACUCUGCACCGUAGCCUGCCACGAGCAAACACCUUGCAGAUAAGCAUCUAUCGCCCAUUACCAUGAUCAAGACUGCUGCAGACGUAUACGGCGCUGGAAUCCGCACUUCUGGAAUUGUACAACUUCCGUUCAAAACAGCUGCAGCAGUGCAGCUCGACAUGUGUCUGAGUUCCAGGCUUUACUAAAUGGAGGCCAAUCUAUGACGUAUUCACUCAACCCAAAUAAUUGCCUUGUCGCAUAGUAAAGGCUUGGCUUUGCACAGUUGCAGUCAACACUUCUUGCUUUGGAUUCCAAAGGGCUCAAACCAUUCUCCUGACGUCAUACAUACGGGCCAUGGAGGAGCAACUUUUCGAGCCUUGGCCGGAACCUCUGCUGCCAAGUCCCCGACAGCCGGGUGCUUCAACAGGGCUGGCGCAGCCACCGAUGAGGAAAUGGACCUUCACUGCUCGGCAGAGUCCCAUAUUGGAUUUCUCCAAAGCUGUUGACCUUUCGGCGGAGUUUCCCUCCGGCGCUUUUUUGCGCUUGCCCAUCGACGUAAGCAUUAUUGGAACCUCUACCCGAUGUGCCCGUGGCACGGUGUUCCAUCUCCUAUGCUUAUUUUGUGUGCUCUGUUGUAUUUUACAUCGAUCACGCGUUGGAAGAAGCUGUGUUCCUUCUGUAUUGUUCCCCCUCCCUCCUGCAGUGGUCCGCUGUGCCGGCAGACCAACAACCCAAGCACGAGGUUGCAACCGGCAACGUAAGUAUUAAUAUGGUCAUUGGCAGGACAGCCGUCGGCGCUGGAAGUUCUGUCUCAGCUGCCGACGCCGACCAACAGUUGUACGUUGAGGAUAAGGGCAUUUUGCCGGACAACGGGCAGGAGCUACCACACUCCAUGGCGCUGCACGAUAAUACUGCGAGUUCUUCCGCGGAUAGUAACCGUAUCAGCAGCGUCAGCGGCGCCAGGACUAUGGAGGCCCUAGGGACGAUAGCAGCCGCAGUGGAUGCAAUCUGCACUAUCCACGGCGCAGCACCGUCUAAUUCUGGAGCCUCAGCCAGGAGCGAUGAGUGCAAAUCCCAGAGCCCCAUGGUGCCGCGGUAUCAGGGCUCUUGGCCUGCUGCCUCAGAAGCAGUAGCAUCCGAACCGCCGGGGCUCAUGGCCAUGCGGCGUGUGGAGGUCGUUCAGACACGGGAGCAUGCACUGCUGGAGCAGCUGCAGCAUGCACUAGCGGAGGCAGAGAGGACGCGGGGAGAGCUGGAGGAGGCUCGCAAAGCGCUGGAGAAUGUCAAUGAGGUGGGUCAGAGUCUAGUCCCCAGGAAGGCUGGGCUGAACAUUACAUUCGACAGAAUGUGGUGGGCAAGCGAGCUCUAAUCAGCAAGCUGGCAUGGUGUCAUGCCUCCGGCAGCCUCUUGAACUCUCAUCGUCUCUUACUGUCCACGCUGUUGCCACCUAUGCCUACUAGGUGGGCACUGCGAAAGAGGUGGCGGCAUGCGGCACUGCUGCCGUUUUGGAGCUGGAGAUGGCCCUUGUGGCCGAGUCAGCGCGUGUCCUCGAGCUCACUCAGCGCAGUGAGCAAGCGGAGGCAUCCCACCGCGCCGAGCUGCAGCAGCUGCGCUUGCAGCUGGAGACUGCAUGUGAGCGCUUGCAGCUUGCAGACACGGAGCACAAAGACCUGCAUGCCGCACAUGUUGCUACACAGGAGGAGCUUAAGCAGCUAUCCGUGCAACUCGCGGCUGCCCGAAGCGAGCUGGACACUCUAAACCAGGAACGGGAUCACCUUCAAUCAGACCAUGCGCGCCUUACCGAGGAAGCCCAAAAGGAAAUCGCCACUAUGGCAGAGGAGGCCUCGUCCCUGUAUAAAUGCACUGUCGGGAUGCAGGCUAACCAGCAGCAGUUGCAGGCGGACCUCUGGGCUGCGGAGAAUGAGGCACGGGUUGCGAAGGAGCGCUUAGCUGAUGUGCAGGCCUCCGUUGAAAUCCUGGAAGCGAAGCAGGAGGAUCUCCGCAAGGACCUUGUGGUGGCACGCAACAUUGCAGAGGACGCGACGUCCAGGCUACAGGUUGUGGAGUCUGAAAAGACUUCAGUGGUGAAGCGAGCGCGGCAGCUCCGGCAGGAGGAGCAGGUGCGUCGAAACAACCUAGCGAAGAACCUCGCCACCGUACAGGCAAUCCUGCGUGAGCGAGAGGCACAGCUGCAGGCCGCUGAGGAGGAGCUGCUAGCUGCUAAGGAGAAGCUGCAGGCCGAAGCAGUGAGUCAAUCGCGGGCGUUGGCGGAGGCACAAGCGCGCGGCGCGGAGGCAGAAGCACGGGCGGAGGCCACAGUGGCGGUGUGUGCGGCUAAGGUCAAGGUCGAACGCAGCAAGGCGGCACACCUGCAGGCAGAGAUGCAGGUCGCUAGGAGGAGGUUGCUAGAGUUGCGGAAGCUGGCCUGGCUUUGCCUAAUUUUGGCGACGUCUUUUGUGGCGGCUGCGAUCUUCAGUUGGAUUGUCCACGAGUCUGCUGGAAGUUGCCAGGUGCGUGAGCGGAUUCAAACUGUUUUUGUGCCGUGGCUUAAGAGCCAAUGCUUUUGCUUACGCCUGCCCUAGAAGCAUGAGAUUAGCCAGGCAGGCAUCUGUAAGUCUGCAUCUUCUAUGCGCACGACUCCACAUGACUGGGGUUGCUCCUACAAUAGGAUAUUGCCGUACCAGAUGCCAACGCAUUGCACGGGCUGUAAUCAUAUGGUGCUGCCUGGCCUUGCACCCAUUCCCAUCCUUGCUAUCCUGCUCUUCACUGUGGUUCACUCCCUUGACAAUCUCGAUUUCCAAGAUCCCCUCACUGCCGCAUGCAUGCUUAUCCUGCGCUGCUGGUAACAGGCGGGCCCGUCGUCGUUGUCCUGACCUGCUUUUCCCCAAUGCAUGCGUGCGAUGUGGGUUAGCAUCGACCCAACCCCUGUCUCCUCCUGGCCACGACGCGCUACAGGUGAUGCACCUGGCGGCUAAAGUUUAGCUAUUGGCGCUUCCGCCCAGCCGCAAUAAUAAUCUACCCGAGAUCAAGGCUCCAAUUGCCUUCACCAACCGGGGCCCAUCAUUAGACCACAUGGUGCUUAUCAAUCUGACGUGUCGUAAGAACAACGAAUCGCAAACGAAUGAGACGCAGCAAAGAUACGGAAACGUUGCUCUCUUUUUAGGCAUUUGGGGAAAUUGCAGCAUACCUGCGUACGCUCCAGGGUCAUAGUCAAGAGUGAUUGACUCAUAGCUUAGGGAUCUACAGUGCUGGAUCGUUACGCAUCAAGGUUCCUCCCUGGUCCGGGAUACCAUAAAUUCCUCCAGGCUGCCAUCACCAUUCACGUCCGGUAAGCCAUUCUCGUGCCAUUGCCCUCCCUGUUCAAGGGUUGAGUUCCAAUUGUUAUUACGAAUUGUCAUUGGCCUUUGCGCCUGGAUUUUGUGCGGCUUCACCUUCAUAAUUGUGUCGGCUGCAAGAUACGCUGGCGAUCCUAUAAUUAGAGCCCGAGUAUUCAUUAUUAAUCUGUACGGCCUGGCAGUGUACAUAAGGGGGUACAGCUAGCAAGGAUAAGGUUCUGUACACGGUGGGGGUGCCUGUCGGGCAUCUGCUGUGGGGGCAUCGGUACAGGUAGAUACGAUUCUGGUGUGUUCUGAUAGCAAUAGGGUCCCGUCAUCCCCGGAGACGUGACUCAAAACUCGUUAUGAGACUUGUACGGCGCUCAUAGAUCCAUCAUGGGGCCGAGCAACGCAGAAUCAGCUAGCGGUAGGGGAUCACUUACUUGCCGGCUGAGGGCAAGUAUGUGGUUCCAACAGUGGCGCAAAAGAUAACCCGGCCCAAAAUUGUGCCUCGCCCAAAGGCUGAAGCUGCGUAACCAAUUAAGGCCAUAUAUUGGUGGUGGUCUAGUGGUGGUGCGGCGAUGGGUGUCCAAAUCAUGACGCGGUGUCACGAUCGGUGUUUUUCGACCCUUGGCACUGAAUAAAGCUCAUGAACUUGUAAGUGGAAUGAAUAAUGACCUGUUUAAUUCGGGAUGGUUCACGUUAUAGAUGCCAUUGGAUGAUGAAGAGGCUCAUGGCAUAGAAGAGCUUCAACGCCCAUAUCAAGUGCCCCG
rnacentral:lncRNA from 1 species